rnacentral:rRNA from 1 species
UCGAGCGGUAACAGGGGAAGCUUGCUUCUCGCUGACGAGCGGCGGACGGGUGAGUAAUGUAUGGGGAUCUGCCCGAUAGAGGGGGAUAACCACUGGAAACGGUGGCUAAUACCGCAUAAUCUCUUAGGAGCAAAGCAGGGGAACUUCGGUCCUUGCGCUAUCGGAUGAACCCAUAUGGGAUUAGCUAGUAGGUGAGGUAAUGGCUCACCUAGGCGACGAUCCCUAGCUGGUCUGAGAGGAUGAUCA